CCCUCGGUCGGGGGUCGAGGCUGCUUCCGUUUCCAUCCCGGACCCGACAAUGGGCGGGAAAAAGAAGGCUUUACACGACUACGCGGCGGAGUUCACCGACCUGGUGGUGAAGCACCUGAUUGAGCACAGUGACUCUGGGGACACGUCUGUGGUGGAGACCCUUUACUGCAGGGCCUGCGAGCUGCCCGUGCGCGUGCGGAGGGACCGCAUCCUGGAACACCUGUCCUCGGGCAGGCAGCACGGCCUGCGGACGCCCAUUCUCAUGUAAAUGUCAGUGCCAACGCUGGUGUUUCAGGAGUCAUCCCAGCGGGCUGCGGGCUAUUUUAGGAUUCUCUGCCCUGCAAACGUUUCCAAAGUACGUGGACAGGCCGCCUGAUGACACUACGUUUACGGGAUCUGCUAGUGGCUUGCCUACUUAGGGAGUAAACCCUGUGAAGUCUCGCAGUUUUGUUAAAGUGUGCGUGGCCACCUGAAUGCUGCCUUAUCACAAGCCAGAUACAUACUGGUCUGUAGGGUAACUCCCCACUGUUGAUCCUCUGAGAUGAUUGUGGACUGGGUGCUGUGAGUCCUGCCACUUUGUUUAAGUGAAUGUGUCUUUUGUCCAGCUCAGCCGCCUCGGAUCUCGCUGCCACCAGCCUUACUGCACACCCGUGCCACCCGCCCUUGCCCCGUCAGCCUCAGCCUCAGCUCAUUCUCUCAGGCAGUCCCAGCAUUGGCACGGUACCUCCUCCCGCUGUGGGCCACACGUCUCUGCUCCCUGUCAACCCUCCUGCCAUCAGCACCACCACCAGCGACUUGUCUGCCCGGGAGGAUGCAACACCAUCUGCCUCCACCGGCCACCUUUCAGUGUUUCCUGCUUUCCAAGUAAAGAUACCAGCAGUGCCCUCAGAGCAGACCAGCCAGAGUUUUUCUGAAGCCUCCCACAGGGUGCUCCCCGGAGGAGGCCCGAGAUGCUCUCGUGACUUUGGAGCCGGGGUGGCUGGCCACCUUGGCCUGGGCAUCUUUGGGGUGGGCUUCGGGAGCCCGGCACUGCUGCAGAGUGUGGUGGAUGAGAACAGCUGCUGCUUGCUGUACGUGGUGGAGGACCAGCUGUGUGAUGUGGAGCAAGCCUUCAGAGCUGAGCAUUUGGGCCAACACCAGAGUGGUUCGGGAACAGGAUGCAGACAUUGUCCUCAACGACCAGCGGCACUUUGAUCCGGUUUUCCAGUUCUUGCACAAGCAAGUUUGUGUCAGCCACGCCCUGGGGAGGAUCCACUGGAUCACCGCCGUCACUGCCUGUUCCCGGCGGCCUCUCCGGCUUCCCUAAAGAGAGCAGAACCCUCCAAUGCUUCUCGCCAGUAGCUUCCCUCGAGACCAGAAGCCAGAGCUCACCCUCCCUUGUGUCCAGGUGGGACUUUCUACAACGCUGCUGUGCACGACGUGGAUGCCGUAUGCAUGUUGCUGGGGGAAGCCACUCCGGACACUGUGUUUUCUCUGGGACAUGUCUUCUGCCCAGAUAUGGCCGCCUUAAAAGAUGCAGAUGCUGUUGUGAUCAGCAUGAAGUUUCCCUGUGAGGCCGUGGUUAGCGUGGACAUCAGCCAGCACUGCACAGACAGCUGCGACCAGGACGUCAGCCAGCACUGCACAGACAGCUGCGACCAGAGACUGGAGGUGACCCUUGCCCUUUUCCACCCUUCGCCAGUCCACUGUGAAAAGCUGGGUUGAUUGUGCGGGUUAGAUAGAGGUCAUCAGCCGGGUUGAUUGUGUGGGUUAGACAGAGGUCAUCAGCUGGGUUGAUUCUGCGGGUUAGAUAGAGGUCAUCAGCUGGGUUGAUUGUGUGGGUUAGAUAGAGAUCAUCAGCUGGGUUGAUUGUGUGGGUUAGAUAGAGGUCAUCAGCUGGGUUGAUUGUGUGGGUUAGAUAGAGGUCAUCAGCUGGGUUGAUUGUGUGGGUUAGAUAGAGGUCAUCAGCUGGGUUGAUUGUGUGGGUUAGAUAGAGGUCAUCAGCUGGGUUGAUUGUAUGGGUUAGAUAGAGGUCAUCAGCUGGGUUGAUUGUACGGGUUAGAUAGAGGUCGUCAGCCGGGUUGAUUCCGCAGGUUAGAUAGAGGUCGUUAGCUGGGUGUGUGGGUCCCAAGGCGUGCUGCAGAUGGAGAAUCAGAAUUCCUUGGGCAUCACCGGGCGGGGCAUGUCCCUGUCCCUUCGCUCCCAGACCCAGGCUAGCCGCUACCAGGACUCCUAUCGAGAGCUCUUCAGACACUUUGUCAGAACCCUUAAAGGUGGGUGACGUUUUCAGGAGGAACCUGGGAUGUCCUGAUGCUCAAUGGGUAGAUGCCUUCCAGGCUGCAGUCAGUGCAGAUGAUAUGCCAAUUUCAGGUGGAAAAUUGCAUUCCAGAUACCGGGUUCAGAUUUGAAAUUGUCCAUCUCAGUGAUCAUUUACGUUGCGUGUACUUGAGGGAGAUUCUGAGAGAUGCUCCUUUGGGGUUCUGUGCGUGUACCAUGUUGCCUGACACGUCCUGAGAAAUCUUCUUAAACUCUGAGUUUAUAAAAUAACUACUUCUGAACUCCUGAGAUCUAGUGGAUACCAUGUAUCCUGGAAGAUAGGACACUUUCUACCCUCUGUCAGUCCUGGGGGUGACUGGGAACCAGAGAGGUUGAGCAGAAUUCCUGGACCUGGGUGGGGCUUGUCCAAGAGGGGCAGGUGGGCCUCUCUAGGAUCAGUGUCCCACCCAGAGGCCAGUGGCCCCUUCACAUGCCCCAACAAGAGGAAGACUGUCUGGCUCCGCAGUGUUGGGUUUUGUCCUGAAUCUGUGCAAAUGUGCAGGGAAAUAACCUCCUGAAAUCACCAAAGAGCAGUUCCUCAGGGCCUUCCGGGUGACCGUGGCCGUGGAGCAGUCGUGGUGAAACCGGUCAGCUGUGGACCUGCCCUGCGAAUCGGCAGAGGCCUCCGUGGUGAAGACAGAAGCUCCGUGAACCAACUCGAGGCUGGAGCCAAGAUCCUGCCUGAUAUCCAGUUGCCUGUUUCACUUGUUACUGUUACUGGGAGAGGGAGACAAAACCUCAUGGCAAUCUUGUCCUCACUGGAGACUCAGAAGGGGAAGCAUUGGGAAACCAUGUAUGUUUCAUUUCUGGUUUAACCAGGCUUUUCAGGAUGGGACUUCAGACCAAGGACACAAGUUGGGCUUGCUUAGGUGUUUUGUGUUGUGCGCAGGCCUCAGAGAUGCUCUUCCGGUCAGAGUUCCCUUGGCAGGGCCUUGGAGGCCUCUGGUUGGCUCUCUCAGGAAGAGGGCAGGUCAGGGAUUGGGCGGUGUAAAUUGACUCAGAAACCUGCGGUUUCAGCUUUUCUGUGGCAAACAGGGCCGAGGGCUGGUGAAGCUGUUAAGGCUAAAUGUCGCAUGCAUGAGGCGGGCUGCAGGCCUCCUUAGGCCUUUUUUGGGGUAAUUACACCAGUAUUUAAAAACAUUUUUUUUUGUUUGUUUUGAGAUGGAGUCUUGCCCUGUCACCCAGGCUGGAGUGCAAUGGUGCGAUCUCGGCUCACUGCAACCUCCGUCUCCCAGGUUCAAGCGAUUCUUCUGCCUCAGCCUUCUGAGUAGCUGGGAUUACACGCGUGUGCCACCACGCUCGGCUAAUUUUUGUAUUUUUAGUAGAGAUGGGAUUUCACCAUGUUGGCCAGGCUGGUCUCGAACUACUGACCUCGUGAUCCACCUGCCAUGGCCUCCCAAAGUGCUGGGAUUACAGGCGUGAGCCACCAUGCUCGGCCUAAAAAACAAUUUUCUUGAAGAAUCCGAUUUUGUGCAUA
ensembl:lncRNA GFOD3P Gfo/Idh/MocA-like oxidoreductase domain containing 3, pseudogene